UGCAACUAUAGGUCCCUGACAGGAAUCGAACCUGUGGUCCUGUAAUUCCAGUACAGCGUCAGUUGUCGAGCUCGAACCACAUGUUCAGGUAUAUCAGGGAACUGCCAUGUUUACGUUAUGGGUAAAUAUCGAUCAUUUUCAUCUACAAGAAUAACAAGACCCUCCAACUAUUAUUGAAUCAAGUGAGAUGCCAACAAAAUCUUGAUAUCAUAUGGCGACCAGGCACUAUGCGAGCUGUAUGCGAAUUGACUUCGUAGAUGGAGGACCUUGGCUUACAAACCCAAUCAUUCUACUUUUACACAUACAGCACAAACUUGUUGGUCCAUUUGAAAUCUGGAAUGACAACGCCGAGAUAUCUUUGAACUCCAAUAUGUUAAAUUGGUUUGGUCGAUCUAUAUCUGGUAAAUCGUCUGUACUAAAUAAAUAGAACCUUAGAAAACUCCAUACGUCGGUUUACGUUA